AAAAACAAUUUCCUUUCCUUUCCCUCCAAUUUCCCUUCCCCCUGAAAGGCCCUCACUUUUUUUCCCCAAUUCUACUUCUUCCCAAAUUUUCUCUAAUCAAUUGCACGACGCUCCCCUUCUUGGCAAUCACUGCGCGAGUCUUCCCUCCACCACCCAAGCUCCAAACGACCGGUCGACGAACGAUCUCACAUGACGGACGUUCCACGGUACACAAACGUUCACGCACAGGCACUGCGCUGCAGAAGACCCACUCCACUCCACCACAACGUAGACGCUCCACCACAGUCGUUCACGCACAGGCUCCACCUCGCAUGGCUGAGGACGGCUGUAGACCUUCUUGCUCCAUGACCACCCAAGUUGCAAACCUUCUUGCUUCACCACGGACGAAUGCGCACGGCUGACGGUAUGGUUGAGGGUUUUAUGAUGGUUGGAGGUUUUAUUUUACUAUGCUGAUUAAACUUAGGAAGUGUCGUUGAAUAUAAAAAAGUUUAUUCCCUGUUUUUGUCAGCGUAAUUAAAUUUGUUUGCCUAUAGUUAGAUUAUAUAAAACUUCCAUCUUACGUAAAACAUGAAUGCACACACAAGUUCUCGUGAUGUGGUUUGUUCAUCCCUCAUGUCGCUUAUGAACAAUUUUGCUUCAGUAGACUAUUUUGUUUCAAUUCAAACAUGAAAUGGAAUUAAUAUAGUUCAAACACUGAGGAUUUUGCCAUGAUGGUAUAAGGAGUUUUGUCAUAAGAGAAAGAGAGCUUUGAAGAGAUUUUUCUUCAAUAAUAAACAGCAGCAGACUUUGAAGGAAAAAAAAUGUUUCCUCCAGUUAUUUUCUAUACUUCCAAGGAAAUUUGAGUUCUUGGCAUGUUAUCCAUGGGCCACAUAUUAAUCCCACAAAGUGAUCUUCAGUACAGUAGUAGACAAAUGUUGGUGUAGCCCAUUUUAGGAGUGGAAUGAGCCACGAAGAGGAUCGGCUUAUUCCUAACCUUUACUAAUAUAUGCAGGUGAGAUUCAUUUCCAAUCUGGUGAUAUACUGUGUAUAUAAGAAUGUGCUUCGUAUUUUGCUUAUACUUGGUGAAUUUUUCAAUUUUUAUACAGCCUUGGGAAAGUGAGUUCAUAUAUUCACAGCGGGUAUGGGCUGAAAAUGCUCUUAAGAGGCAGGAAGCUCAGGCCAGAAAGAACUGAGCUUGUCGGUUGGUGACUAUGUCAUUGUGCGAAACCUAUUUUUUAUUUUCUUGAGGCAACUUUCUCUAUUUUUUAUUUUCAAGUUUGCAGUCAUAACCUUGGGAAGUAGUUGUAGACUAUGUUUGUAUGUGAAAUCUUAAAGGUUUUCAAAAGGGCUUGCUCAUGUUGAUUACAUGCUCAACCAUUUUCUAGAGGUAUGUUGUUUUUAUUGCAAUACUUUUCUGACAUUCAUAAUGCUCAUACUUCUAUUCUGUUAGUUUAGGUGACUCCUUUUCAUGGCAAUUAUACUUCUGGUAUUGUGCUGUACCAUCUCAUGUUUAAUUUCUGAUUUCUAAUUAUUGUUUGUACAAAGAAAUAUAAUAUAUAUUGAUAUAUGCAGGCUAUCGCUGUAAUGAAGCAUGCAUUGGAUGUUGACCCUACGAACUUAGAGAUGCUUCAUGCACUUGGUGUGAGUCAUGCAAAUGGUCAGUUGUUGCUUCCUUAUCUAAUUACAUGUUGUAUAUGAUGUAUAUUCACUAAAAGCAAUUUUUCUAAUUAUCUUGGCUGAAUGACAAUUGUUAACAGGGCUGGGUUUUUGUUGUGAGUUUGCAUAUAAAUUAUAUGUAGCUUCGCCAGACUUUAAUUUAGUUUCAAAAUUUCACUUUCUUUGAUCA